CAUUCUUGUUACACCUACUACUCAGUUGUACACACCUGGCAACAAGGUAGAGACAAAACAAUCUGCAGUCUCAGACUUAUUUCAGUACUUCCUCAAUACAGCACUCAAAUAGUGAAACUUCUCAAAAAAUUAGAAUAUGGUGACAUGCCAAACAGCUAAUCAACUCAAAACACCUGCAAAGGUUUCCUGAGCCAUCAAAAUGGUCUCUCAAUUUGGUUCACUAGGCUACACAAUCAUUUGGAAGACUUCUCAAGGAGGGAAUUAUCUGGAUUGCUGAGCUUGGAUUUGAAGAACUCGAGAGCCUUGAUCUCAACCCCAGUCAACACCUUUGAGAUGAACUGGAACUCUGACUGCACCCCAGACCUCCUCCACCAUCAGUGCACUCCAAAAUACUGGGUGAAAAUAAACAAGGAUAGUCAUGGAGAAAACAACUUGACAGUUGUAAUGUAUGAUGUGAAGUUAAUGUUCUGUUUGGGGACCAUGCCAGAAUAUGUGUUUACAUUCCAGUAUCUUAACUAAGUAAUAAAAAUUUAAGUUAUCUGUAUUUAA